ACUCAGCUACCCACCUCAUGGGACAACUGUGAGGAUGACUGAAAUAAUGAAUCAUGAAGAGCUUUGUGCUCGUGGGAGUAAGAGCACUUUAUGAGUGCCCAUUUAUCGUCAUUAGUAGCAAGAUUGAUAUUUUCCUUGGGAUUUCAUUAAGAAGACUGAAUAUACAAAGCACACUAUCCUGUGUCAACCAAUCUUGGGACACAACGCUUGUCAUCAAGAUGACGAUUACAACAUAUUCAUUCCUAUGGUGAUCCUUUCCUACCACAGAUCCUUCCUUGGGAAACACUCCCACCUGAUAGAACCAGAGAGAGACUCUCUCCAAGUUCAGGGAGAAGAAAGGUUCCUAAUCUCACAGCACUGCUGAAUCACUACAGAACAUCGAACACCAUCCAGGCACGGCUGUCCCACUAGCCCAAAAGGGCAGCGACGUACCCUCAACACAGUCCGAUCGGGUUUCCACGCUCUUCCUUUUUGACGAGUCUGCCUGUCAGCUGGAAGGGGGUUUCCCCAGGACACCUGACAGUGAAUAAAGUUCUCUGUGCCUCCCUUUGCCCAUUUGCCUGCUGGGGAAAUUUGGGAGAUUCUUAAAAGCUCCAUUUCUGAAAGCAGGGAUUUUGUUUUGUUGACUGCCUUAUUCGCAACACUGAACAGAGCGCCUGGCACACAGAAAU